AGUGAACGCUGGCGGUAGGCCUAACACAUGCAAGUCGAACGGCAGCACAGUAAGAGCUUGCUCUUACGGGUGGCGAGUGGCGGACGGGUGAGGAAUACAUCGGAAUCUACUUUUUCGUGGGGGAUAACGUAGGGAAACUUACGCUAAUACCGCAUACGACCUACGGGUGAAAGCAGGGGAUCUUCGGACCUUGCGCGAUUGAAUGAGCCGAUGUCGGAUUAGCUAGUUGGCGGGGUAAAGGCCCACCAAGGCGACGAUCCGUAGCUGGUCUGAGAGGAUGGACAGGCCACACUGGAAUAGAAACACGGCCCAGACUCCGAGGGGAGGCAGCAGGGGGGAAUGUGGAACAAGGGGCUAAGGCUUGACCGACCCUUCCGGGGGGGGGAAAAAGGGCCUGCGGUUUGUAAGGCCUUUUUGUGGGAAAAAAAAAGCAGCAGUUUAAUCCCCCGUUUUUCUGAGGGGACAAAAAAAAAAAGCCCCGGCAAACUUCGUG
rnacentral:rRNA from 1 species